GCCAAUAAUUUAUCUUUGAGACUUUCUUGAGUAACCUGGUGAUUUUUGUGUUUUCUAAAGACACUUAUUGGUGUGUGGAACUCACCUUUUGCCAGGGCUUAAGGACUUGUGUAUUUGGAUUCCUCUCCUGGAAACUCUCACUUGGAAACCAACCACCCUCUGUCCUGCCACUCUCUCUCUCCCUUGGACCUGGAACACAAACGGACACCGAAACCUGGAACAAUUAUCUCCUGGAUUUCCCUUGCCUCCUCCUCCGAGCUGACCUCCCUCCCAAGAGCCUGUAAGAAAGACAAUCUCCCCAUUAUACUCACCAUUACUCCUGUGGAUGACCAGCUAACUUCUUCAUAUUCCUUUGGAGGACGAACCCACCGCUUUGCAUUCACUUUAAACCCCAACAGAUGAAGAUCAGGAAGUAAUUUUCAGCCAGCAUGAGAUGGAGGCAGUGAAUGAAGGCAGUUCUGAUGAGGAGGAUGAAGAAAUGUAUCACAGUAAAAAGUCCAAACUAGCCAAGGGAUUCUGCUGCCGUAAAAGGCCUUUUGUGCACCAGUCAACAGCAGCUGCCAGUGAAUUCAGCACACCUGAUGAGCUGUCUUCUCCAUGUAGCUACUUUGCCCAGUUUUUUGAUGAUGAUCUGUUCCAACACAUUGCUGAACAGAUAAAUCUCUACAGCUGUCAGUUAAUUGAAGCCAGCAUUAACACCACUGUGUAUGAGAUCACGUGUUUUGUCGGCAUUAAGGUAAUGAUGGGAGUGGUGAGAAUGCCAUCUAUGAAUGAUUAUUGGGCAGAAAACACAUGUUCUGCCAAAAUGGCCAAUGUGAUGUCAGUAAAAAGUUUUAAAUGCCUCUCACGAUUCAUCCACAUUCAAAACAAUCAGACAUCACACCCAACCCAAGAUCGGCUCUGCAAAGUGACACCAGUGCUGGAGCACAUAAAGAAAUGUCUGGAAAUUAUGAGUGAGAACAAAUUCUCAAUAGAUAAAGUGAUGGUCCCUUACAAGGAAGAAAAAGUUGGGUCUCAGACAGUUCUCCCGAGCAGAUCUCACCAUUGAGGCAUUAAGAUCUUCGUUCGAGCAGGGAUGAUAUAUGACUUCCUGACAUACACUGGAAAGAGCACAUUUGGUACAGGCCAGGGUCCAGCCAAAGAAGUUGGAGUUAGGGCCAAUUUUGUCAUUCAACUCUGCAAGACCAUCAAGAACCCAGCAGAGUGUAUUGUUUACUUUGACAGUUUUUUCACCUCCCUCCCGGAUCAGAAGGAUUUCCAUGGUUUGGGAAGUCUGAGAACCAUCCGCAAGAACAGGCUUAAAGGAUGCACACUUGAGGAUGAUGUGUUCUGCUGAGGAAAGGGAGGGGGAGCUUUGACUACAGGGUGAAUAAUGAGGCAGAAGUGGCUGUUGUAAAAUGGUCCAACAACAAAGUUGUCACCUUAGCUAGCUCCUGUGCUGCAAUCAGCCCUCUCAAGGAAGUCAAGCAUUUCUCCAGAGAGGAAAGAAGAGGAGUUGCGGUUUCCUGUCAAAACGUUGUUUCACAGUAAAAUGUCCACAUGGGGGAAUUGACCUUGCUGACAUAAUGGUGGCCUUGUACCGCGCCCCUCUAAAGUCUCAUUGGUGGUACCUGUUCCUCUUUUGGCAAAUGGCUGAAAUAGCCAUCAACAAUGGAGUGUGCAAAAGCACAAAAAGCUCAAGGAAUUCAAGCUGGAGGUUGCGGAUACCCUUAUCCACAGUAGGAAGAACAAGGUAAGGUCUUCCAAGGGAGGAAAGGAGAAUGUGCACAGCCCCACCAGAUGCAUACACAUGCUAACAACCCCUAGACUCAUGGUUGAUGUCUGCCAUGAUCAAGUGGAUCACUUCCCAGCUUCCACAGACAAGGGAAAGGUGCAGGUUUUGCCCUGAUUGACAGAUAACAAUCAACUGCACAAAAUGUGGUAUUCAUCUGUGCAUUGUCACUGGGAAAAACCCAUGCAACUGCUUCCAAACGUUCCAUAAAAAAUAGUCUGAGGGGCAUUGUUCAUAGAGUUCCCACCAUUAUAGAAAACCUGGACCCAUGAAGGUUUCUCCUAUGUUCAGUUGUGUAUGCACCAUUUAAUAUAAUGAAAUUGCUGUGCUGUUUUGCUUUUAUGUAAAUGUCAGUGCACAAACAGUUCCAUAUGUUCAUUAUGAAAUGUUGUGUUUUUGCAUCACUUUCAUGAGAUUGCUGUGUUAGGAGAUUACUAAGGUAGAUUGAUAAAAAUGAAUAAAAUCAAGUUAAAAAGUUCUUUGUGUAAUGUAAGUGACCAAGGAAUACAACAAUAUGUAAUUUAUCUUCAUAAAAUUGAACAUUAAUGUGGUUAUCAUUUUGGCUUUGUUUAUACCUUAAUAGAGCAACAUAUCCUGGGGGAUAGAACUCAUAAAAUCCAAUUUAUAUAUAUAUAUAUUUUUAUUUUUUUAUUUUUUUUUGUUUUGAACAUGGGAAUAUUUUAGAGCCUAAAGAGAUGAGUGAUAAAAUUAAAUAAUUUUUUACAACUUAUUUUCCACUCCUGCCAGUUUUAGGGUUAAAUGUUUUUAUUGCCUGCCAGUGAAAAUACAGUUGUUAUUGAUAUUUUGUUCAAACAAAUAAAAUCAUCCACCUUUGUGGGCACCUUACCCAGAUUUAAUUGAUGCUUCAGCAGUUGUAGUUUGUGUUGUCUGCAGCUGCAUUUCUUUAGGUAUAUCUUUAUGAUUAUGUGUUUCUGUUUUCUGAUAAGUACACCUUGUACAGCUGUUUUACAGUUUUAGAGACAGAAAAUUAUCUCAAUUUCAGUGGGAUGUCUACCCUUUUCAUAUUGUCACGAUGGUCGGGGUCUGGGAGUUUCUGUUUGUUUUCUGUUUCUAGCCUGCUAUUUACUAUGCUCAGUCCAUAGGUGGCAUGGGAGCUCAUGGGUGCAGAGGUGAUAGGUGUUCUUUAUCCUGCUGAUUGCUACUGGGAGCAUUUAAGCAGAAGGCUGCCAGCACUUUACCGCCUGAGUGUUGGCCAACAGUGGUUUCUUUCAAGCCCUGGCUCUGUUUCCAAUUCGUUUCCUGACUUCUGUAUUAAGAACCUUCUGGAUCUAAGAUUCUAGCCUCCAUUUACCCUCGCUGGACAAACUCCAAGCUGGCAGCUUCCUGGCUCUACAAUUAACCGGCCUCAAUCAAAAGCGAACCUUGUUCACCCUCCAACAAGCUCCCGUGCACGUACCACUACCCAGCGCUCCACAACACCAUCUUCACACCAUGGACUGAGCUUGACUGGACUUCCCGAAAACCUCCUUCAAGCAUCCAUAGAGCAGCUUACCUUGGAUUCCACCCUCCUUAUUCUCCUCCAGUCCCGUGCUACCAGGCUCCCCAUCUCUUUUCCCCCUGGCGGUUCAAUCAUCUCCUCCUGUAAGCAUCUCAUAGUACUUUAGUAACCAUAGUCCUAUCAUCACUCUG